rnacentral:snoRNA from 1 species
AUCUAUGAGGGUUGCAUAGUUCACCGAGAGGUGUGAAGAGUUUACUUUGUCUGAUGUAUCU